AUCAUUGUCAACGCAUACACAAUCCCGUCUAAUAAUGCAUGUGACCUCCUCUCUUACAAUAUAUAAUUAUUCAUAAAGGUUGUCGGUGGACACUCUUUUCCUUAUUGAAUAACUUCACCACCUUACUUUGAUUUACUUGCUUAAUGUUAAUGGAUAAUUUUAAACAGAAAACUAGCCCUUUGGUCCCUUGGCUUUAUCAGAU
rnacentral:lncRNA from 1 species